rfam:Aphanomyces astaci strain APO3 cont1.448, whole genome shotgun sequence.
CCCACGGUGUUUAUCAACACCACCCAUGUACAUGUCAAGAAAUGAU